AAAGCAAGAAGUAUGGGCGUUAUAUUUCCAGGAAAGAGGAUUCCAAGCUGGUUCAGCUAUCGCAAGGAGGCCCAUGAUAGUAAUAUGUGUGAAAUAGAUAUUAAUCCAUCGCAUCAUUGGAAUGACAUAGAUGAAAUUGUUUUCUAUGUUGUUUUUGGAUUUAGAGUUGGGAUCACUAACCCAGAAACGGAGGAGGCUCUUCAUAUAUAUGUUAGAACCCAUGAUAGAUUGGAUUGGAAAAACUUAUGCAGUAAUCGACGUAUCGCAUUUUCUUGGACGGACUCAGACCAUGUAUGGAUGCACUGGAUGAGUUACGGUGAACAAGUGGACGUUUCAAGGUUUAGAUUUGAAUGUGAGUCAAAGCUCGUGGUCUUUAGAAGGGUUGGGAUCCAUUUCCUAAAGAAGCAUGAAGAGAACGUAAGAGAUGAAGUAGGUGUGCUCUACAAAAUUCCUUUAAAAUAUUUUGGUUCCGAAUUUUUUUAUUCCAGUAGUGAUGUAGAAAGUGA